rnacentral:rRNA from 1 species
UACGUAGGGUGCAAGCGUUGUCCGAAAUUAUUGGGCGUAAAGAGCUCGUAGGCGGUUUGUCGCGUCGGCUGUGAAAACCCGAGGCUCAACCUCGGGCCUGCAGUCGAUACGGGCAAACUAGAGUGCGGUAGGGGAGACUGGAAUUCCUGGUGUAGCGGUGAAAUGCGCAGAUAUCAGGAGGAACACCGGCGGCGAAGGCGGGUCUCUGGGCCGUAACUGACGCUGAGGAGCGAAAGCGUGGGGAGCGAACAGG